rnacentral:snRNA from 1 species
UGAUGUGAGGGCGAUCUGUCUGUGACAUCUGUCACCCCAUUGAUCACCAGGGUUGAUUCGGCUGAUCUGGCUGGCUAGGCGGGUGUCCUCUUCCUCCCUCACCGCUCCAUGCGCAUCUCCCGAAGCUGCGCGCUCGGUCAAAGAGGACGACCAUCCCCGACAGAGGACAGUUCUUCGGUCAAGGGUAUACGAGUAGCUGUGCUCCCCUGCUAGAACCUCCAAACAAGCUCUCAAGGUCCAUUUGUAGGAGAACAUAGGGUAGUCAAGCUUCCAAGACUCCAGACACAUCCAAAUGACGCACUGCAUGUGGCAGUCUGCUUUUCUUU